CGGGGGAUAGCGCAGUUUGGCUAGCGCGCGACGUUCGGGACGUCGAGGCCGUGGGUUCAAGUCCCACUCCCCCGA
rnacentral:tRNA from 1 species